rnacentral:sRNA from 1 species
UCAUAGCCCAGAUUAAAGUAAAAAUCCUUUUUAUUUUUUCUUUAAAAAUAAAAAGAUUGCAACGGAAAGCUGGAAAUAGC